GGGGAUUUAGCUCAGUGGUAGAGCGCUUGCCUAGCAAGCACAAGACCCUGGGUUCGGUCCUCAGCUCCG
rfam:Rattus norvegicus chromosome 6, whole genome shotgun sequence.